rnacentral:rRNA from 1 species
UACGGAGGGGGCUAGCGUUGUUCGGAAUUACUGGGCGUAAAGCGCUCGUAGGCGGCUUUGCAAGUCAGAGGUGAAAGCCCGGGGCUCAACCCCGGAAUUGCCUUUGAGACUGCAUCGCUAGAAUUGUGGAGAGGUAAGUGGAAUUCCGAGUGUAGAGGUGAAAUUCGUAGAUAUUCGGAAGAACACCAGUGGCGAAGGCGACUUACUGGACACAUAUUGACGCUGAGGUGCGAAAGCGUGGGGAGCAAACAGG